rnacentral:lncRNA from 1 species
AUGGAUGAGAGCCGACAGAGCCGCUCACGUGUGUGCGCACCGGGCAGCAGAGCCCGUCCCCAGGGGGCACGGCAAGGGGGGACACCAGCCUGGACAGCAGCCCCAGGGGUCAGAGAGCCCCUAUUCCCCCUCCCCACCUCGCCCAGGCUCUCCCCUUUCCACCCCCUGCCUCAGUUUCCCCAGCAGAGCGCGGCUCCGUUCAGCUGCCGCGCUGCGAGAUGGGGACAGCGACAGCACAAAAGGGGAGGGAAGCGAGGGUGGCUUUGGCACGGGGACGGGUUCUGGCAUUCCUGGGAUUGUCAGCGUGCUGUCCCCGCUCCCAGCUGCUGGCCACUGUGCCCAGGGCCUUCCCCAGCCCGUGGUGGCCACCAGCCAGGAGGUGACAGCGAUCCGCACGGGGAGCAGGCGGUGGCUGCCACUCACAGCAUCCCCAGGGGACAGCACAGGCUGGGAGCCCCCCCUGCACCCACAUUCCCCAUUCCUGGAGGGGGGCCCCGAGGGCGCAACCGGCCCCACGGGAGCAGGGGAGACAAAGGGGGCCGGGGACCAGCUGCGGAGGGAAUGUCCCCUGCCCUCGGCCCCGUUCCCAAGGAUCAGGUUACCCAGUUCCCAGGCAACCCGAGCCCCGGCGCAGCUUUUCCAGGCGCAGGCAUUCCUGCGCCCCGCGGGGCUGGGGGCAAAGGGAGGGGGGCCGCCGAGGGGGCGCGGGCAGGUGGUCUGCGGGGGCUUGGGGAGGGAGGUGGCAGCAGCAGGAUGCAUCCCUGGGAGCAAUUUGGGGGGGGCAGGAUGCGCCCCAAAACCAUUUCUGGGAGCAAGGAGGGGAUGGAUGCACCCCAAAACCACGUCUGGGAGCAAGGGGAGGGGAUGGAUGUGCCCCAAAACCAUUUCUGGGAGCAAGGAGGGGAUGGAUGCACCCCAAAACCACGUCUGGGAGCAAGGGGAGGGGAUGGAUGUGCCCCAAAACCAUUUCUGGGAGCGAGGGGAGGGGAUGCACUCGCAGCAGCUGGCCGGAGGGGUGCUCGGGGCCCUGCCCUUGCAGGCGGCAUCGCCGGCGUGCCCGGGGUGCAAGGGAUGCCAGGAGGGCCCAGCGCAGCAGGGAGCUGUUGCCAGCACAUUCCUGCCUGCUGGCAGGGCGAGCUGACAAAAUCCUGCCCCAAAUCCAGACCCACAGCUCUGGGGAAGCAAAGGGUGGGACCCCCAGAACAGAAAGCAGCAUGCCUAGGGAUUUUUUUGGGGGGGAGGUGCCUUGCUUUGCCACCACCUCUCCAACCCCUGCGUGACACCGUGCCCCCUCCAGCAGCUCCACACGAUGCUCCCCUGCACAGGGCAGCCCCCACCCCGGUCUGUCCUUCCCCAGGAGCUCCGGGGACACCCCUUUGCCCCCCGCACCCACCCCUCUGA